UCCCUGGUAGCUCAGUUGGUAAAGAAUCUGCCUGCAAUGCAGGAGAUCCUAGCUCAAUUCUGGGUCAGGAAG
rnacentral:tRNA from 1 species